GGAGAAUUCUGCGUGGCUGAACAAAGCUUACAUGGUUACAGAACUAAAUGCAAUGUAUACUACAGCAUAUAAGAAAAGGAUUUUUUUUUUUGGAAGUACUUCCUCUGUGUAUGGGAACUCUUAUGUCAGGCCUGAACUGGUGAUCGAGCACCUGGUAAAGGGAGUGGCUGGCCCAGGGAGCACAGGUGCAAACAAUUCACCUAUGCUUCCCACGUGACUGGAAUUGGGAGGACCAGGGUCCACCCCUCCCAGGGCUCAUUUAAGGGCUAGUCUCCCAUGAGAGAGGGUCUUCUGGCUGUGUGCUGUGUUUUGAAGGGGAAUGUUCAGGAGCUGGAGACCAUAUUAUCAGUUAGCACCAGGAGAUGCGGCGUCUGAAGCAGAGGAGUAAGGAGAAGCCCCAUGUCCAGGUACCAAGCCUGCUUUUUUAGCGCCCCACUUCCUAGCAGCGCCGAGAGUUCGUCCCCGCCGCGGUGCCUCUGGGAGUGGGAACGGGUGAGUUACGGGCAGAAGGACCCGGAGCAGGCAGGGUGCACUGCUGCUUGCGAACUUCUGAAGCAAACUCUCGGCUCUGUCUGGGAGUAAGCUCCUCUUGCAGCAGGCAUAGCUGUGUACCGUGAAGCGCCUUGACCACUCGCUCUUCAGCAUAAAGAAAUAAGGGCAGGUAGGGGGGGCUGAGCACAUCGUGCUGGGUGGCAAGUGCAGAUCUGGCUGCUUUUGGGGUCUGUUUAUAGGUAGGUAAAGAGUGAGAUGUAUUCAUCAAAAAAUAUAUUGAUCUGUGCUUUGGUUACAAACUCUCAUCUUUAGCAAAGACUCUCCUCUGUAUCUGUGUCAAGGUGCUUUCUGACUUUGGGGCUAUUUUCCACUAUAAGGCAGCAAGCAGAGAGGAGAAUCAAGGAGCAGAUUGUGCUGCCUUGCUUUAGCAAAGAGAAGUGUGCAAGGCCAUCCUCCAUGCUUGCAUACAGAGAUGUAUGUUCUUUGGAAGGGCUCAUCUGUAUACCCCAGCAUUCUUGAAAAUGUUGUAAAUGAGCAGCGUUAUUUUCACAAACAAGCUCAGAGCAGUGAGUGCAUUGCUGUCCAGAUAAGGUCCAAAAAGCUCCUCCUGUACUCCUAGGCUAGCAGUGUGCAUAACGCAGGGUGAAUCUUACCACCCCGCACUGCCUUUCCCCUCCUAACAAAGCAGGUGGACCACAGGCAGAACCCGGAGUAGGGAGAGUUUGUUUGAUUUCCAGUUUUGUGUUUGUUCUAGGCACCUUGGGAAGCAACCCAUUCCACCAGAAUCGGACCCAACUGCCAAAUGCCAUCAAUGGGCUCUGCAGCCCGGAGCCCUGAGCUGUGGCUGCAAGGGGAUGGGGUAGUGAUGAUGUCCUGGGGCUGCGAGCGGCCAGUGCCUGCAGGCUAAGUUGGUGGAGCUUUUAUUCAAAAUAAAAAUCAGGUGAAAUUUCCUUCUAUUGUCUAGCCAAAUUCUCUUUAAUUUGCCCCAAGGGAAAGUCACUUGCCUUGCAGUGCCUUUUUUACUUUUUUUUUUUUGAGCUCGUCUCCGUCAACAUAAAUGCCUGGGGGUGCUCCCUGGGGGAUGAGUGGGGAAGCCGAAGGUCAGGGUUACCCACUGUGGCAUGACUUUUAAGCUAAAGGGGUUUUUAUUUCUCUUGUUUCCAUGUCAGGUUUCAUUUGGGCAGCAUUAUUCUGAAAGGGUGGGCCUGCUCUUGACAGGAGGGGGUUAAAUGGGAUUACAAGCUUUAGAGGCUGUCAGCAGCCACUGCUGCCUGGGGAUGUUAAAUUGCAAUUUAAUGGUCAGCUUUAUAUGUAUAGUAUCAGUGGAAAUCUGCUGUUUUCAGCAACUUAAUAGGAGCUGUGUUUUCAGGAAGGGACUGUUUUGGAGGGGGGGCGAGGAGUGGGUUUGCUGGCACUGGCAGCUCCUCCCGCCAGGCAGUGGCCGGGCACCAAGGGGCUCUUCCAGUGUGUCCCAACUUCCCCAAACCAGCUCCGUGCCUCAGGCAGGAAGAGAGCAAGCAGUCCUCACUGGAGCAUCGGAGAGUAGGGAGAGAGGGCAGGAAGGUGCUGAGGCGAAGAGGGCAUGAAGGCACUGAGGGGAUGAGGGCAAGAAGGCAAUGAUGGGGUUGCUCAUUGUGUAGGAUUGGCUCCAAAGGCCAGCCACCAGUCAAACUGCCAGUUGGGGGGGAUCUGUAGAUGCAUGUCUUAUGAGUAUCAGUGUGUGUAGAGGUGCUGUGAGGGGCAGAGGGGUAAAGCGUGCUGAGGGGCAGACAGCAAGGCCCCACCAGAGGGCAUCGGUAUUGUCUGUUGGCGAGUGAGGGGUCAGCCCGGAAUGUUCAGGAUUAGUAAAUUUAAUAUCCUGUCAAAAUUCUCAUGAUAAUGAGUGCUGGCUCGGCUGGCUGGUGGGGCUGGCACAGCAGCCUGGGCGCUGCAGCUCCCGAGAUAGCGCCGCUAAUUUAUGGGCAGGAGAUUGUGCUGUGCUGGCAUGGGCCGAGGCGAGAGCGGCUCGGCGGUGGGGCCUCUUGGCUGCGUGCAGCAGCUGCUAAGCUGGGGAAAAUACACAGAUCUGGAUCAUUUUAAGUGAUUCUUAUUCAUUCCAAAAUCCUCCUAACCCCCUGCAAUAGCUUGGCUGAAGUGACAGAGGUGGGCUGCGCUCGGCUUUUCCUCUCCCUCCACUGUGCUUACGAGAGUUCCUCUGCACUGAGGAUUUCUGGCUUUAAAAAUGACAAGAAAGAGGCAGAAAGAGGGAAGAGAGGCAAAACCAUGACUGACCAUGUGUGUUGCACUGUAGACUAAUUUUCGGGAGAGUUUCCUUUACCUUUCGGAGCUGGUAAGUUUAAAACAGCGAACUGGAGGGGAAGAUGGGGACAAAAGAAAGCACAGAGCAAACCAGUACGGUCAGAACAAAUAGUAAACUGUGACCCCAACACAGUAAUUUUUGAGCUGAUGGAUGAUAUUUAAAAUACAGUUCAUAACAGGAAAACGAAAAACAAAAAAGAUGGGGGGAGGAGGGCUGGAUAGGGGAAGAAAAAGAGGAGGGGAGAGAAAGUUCCUGUGCACUUUGUUCAAGGUUCUGCACCUCUCUAAGCAGCUGUCACAUCCGUACAUUAUGGUACAUUGAAUCUGAAUGAGGCUCUCCACAUCAAAACCUUGCAUCCAUUAUGAUAUCAUCUCCUGCUCUAAGCUGUAAUGCUUAUUAAUUCUGCACCCAUACUCUCCAAGCUUCAGCAAAUGUAUUCCAUCAGCCUAGCAUUUAAUUUAAUUAGUACAGCUGGGCUCUCAUUCUCCUUUCUGUGUCAGAGGUAUUGUCAGCACGUUCUGCUAUAACACAAUUACUGAUUGCUUUUAGAUAGGCAGAAAUAUGAUUAGGGUAUUGGGUGACUGUAUCAUAAGCCUUAUUAGAUUCAUUUGAAAUCUGGAGAUAAAUAGGAAACUUUUAUUUGCAGUGUAAUGAGAUUAUGCUUAUUAGGCCAAGGCCUCACAACCUUUUGCAAAGAACAUAGUGUAUCACUAGGAUUAUACUCUGGAACCACACUUUUUGCUCAUAGCAUCCAAGCAAUUUCUCAGCACCUUUGAGAUUUAACUGUUGUAGCCCUGUAUGCAUUUUAGAAUUGUUUUUUGGCUUGGCAGCUCUCUCGUGUGAUAGAUGGUGCACACAUUCUGCUGUGUUUUCUUCUGCUUAAACCAGGAAAUUUUGGGGAAUGUGUUUUGUUCAAUGUGAAAGAUGUUUGUGUGUGCCACAGCCAUGUGUGAUUGAGUAAAUGCGCCAAUACACUGGACAGAAGAGUUUUUGCUAAUAUCAGUCUUUCAUUUCAGACUCUUUUUUUUCCUUCAGUAGAAAUCUGCAACAACAUUUCAUAAUCAGCCGUUUUCAGAAGCUAAAAAAAUAU
rnacentral:lncRNA from 1 species